GAUGAACGCUAGCGGCAGGCCUAAUACAUGCAAGUCGAACGGCAGCGCGGUCUUCGGCCUGGCGGCGAGUGGCGAACGGGUGAGUAAUACAUCGGAACGUGCCCUGUAGUGGGGGAUAACUAGUCGAAAGAUUAGCUAAUACCGCAUACGACCUGAGGGUGAAAGCGGGGGACCGGUAACGGCCUCGCGCUACAGGAGCGGCCGAUGUCUGAUUAGCUAGUUGGUGGGGUAAAGGCCCACCAAGGCGACGAUAAGUAGCUGGUCUGAGGGGACGAUCAGCCACACUGGGACUGAUGCAGGGCCCAGACUCCUACGGGAGGCAGCAGUGGGGAAUUUUGGACAAUGGGGGCAACCCUGAUCCAGCAAUGCCGCGUGUGUGAAGAAGGCCUUCGGGUUGUAAAGCACUUUUGUCCGGAAAGAAAUGGCCUGGGCUAAUACCCCGGGUCGAUGACGGUACCGGAAGAAUAAGCACCGGCUAACUACGUGCCAGCAGCCGCCGUAACAC
rnacentral:rRNA from 1 species